CUAUUGUGAGAAUAACUUUUCGAAAAAUCAUUCUCUUUCUCUCUAUCUUUUUGUCCCUUCAACGAAGAAAAGUCCUUCUCUUGUUAAGCCCUUUAUGUUCACACUGAAUUUACAAAAGCAAAAUUUCGUUUUUAGUUACAGGCAAUUUUGUUUUCUGCACCCUGUAUACUAAUAUAACUGGUGGCAGCAUCCUAGCUACAAGCUACUCCUGAACUAGCAUCGAUACCAAAUUACUCGACAAAGUUGUGCUUCUUUCGUUCUCGCUUUUCUUCACAAAAAGGUAAUAUAGUCCCUUUUAACAUGCAAUAGUUUCUUGAAUCAUUUGAAUGUUGAACAUGCCCAGAGAUGAAAGCAAGAUAGUUCUUUCUUGAACCAAUAUAUUUCUCAACUUUUCUUCUUUUGCUACAACCUUCACCCCCCCCUGCGAAACACUUUCUCAUCUCAUCCUAGUUAAUAGGAAAUAAUUAUGUAGCCACGAUGUUUUUCAAAGUUUAUUGAUGUGCCUCUUUGUUGUCAUCUCCUCUUUGCUAUUUGGAAUGUCCUUUUUAAGAAGUUACUUGCAGUUCGAUCAUUUCUAUAGCACAGUACCCUCAAUAUUGUGUUGGGGUCUGCUCUAUUCCACUUUCCUGUAGUGUUGGUGGCAUUGGCAACUUCUGACCAUUACCAAUGACUCCUAUUCCACUUGUCUCAUUUGAUAAGGUACUUAAGUUUUCCAUCAAUUGUUCAGUACUCAUUCCCAUUAGUGCCAUCACUCCCUCCACUAUCUCAGCCGCUUUCUCCACCUCAUUUUCUGCUAUCAAUUCUUCUCCAAAACUGCAGAAUAGCUGCUUCAAACUGUCAAAAUCCUCUCGUAUACUUUCGUGAUCUGAUUCAUUGAACACCCUGGUGGUUCCACCUGCAAGCAAAACUGUGAGGAAUGCAUCGAAGGAGGCCUUCAUAACUUCCUUCGCAGCCGGUGCUUGAGCUCUUUCUGUCAGAAUUGAUGUCAUUAAUUUGAUGUUAUGCUUGAGAAUUGUCAAUAAUUGGCUAAUCCUAGCAUUGGCUACAUCGCCAACAUAGAGGCUGUCAUAGUAUCGUAGAUUAAUUUUAAAAAAUUAUCACGCAAUUUUAACAAACGGUUAAUAUUGUUAAAUUAUAUAGAUUAUAAUUAUAUUCUACUAGAUAGGAUAAAAUUAAGAUUCAUCAUAUAUAUUUUUAUCUUAUCUUAUUAUCAUCCAAAUAUUUAUUUUAUUUUAUUUUGCAAUUUAAUCUUGACAGUUAGUAAACAGGUAAAAAAGCUAGCUAGGUCUCUCUAAUAUUACUGAACAAAAGUGUAUCUUUCCAAGACACCAAAUAAGUCUUGUGCAGUCCUCUUUGCCUUUGGGUAUAUUUCUUUGCCCCCAAGCCAUUGUCAAAUUUCGUUAAUUGUAUGGCCAUUUAUUUGUCUAGGGAUUUCUAAAGCCGUAAUCUUAUUAAAAAAAGUGUUUAAUUUGGAAAAAUUUCGGAUUGCAUUAGAUAUUUUGUUUUUCUGUAAUUUAAUGUUAUUUUAUUUUUGGUUUUUAAAUUUAUUUUUUUAAUUUUAGUUUUCAUACGUUAACAUAUUUUAAUUUUGAUCCAUACAAGAUGUUUUAUUUAUUAGUCCUAUAAAUUUAGGUUUUUUCCGUUUUGAUCCUUAUAAUAUUCUAAUUUUUCAUCCAUAACCCUCGUGCAUGUGCACGAUUUUAAUUUAUUAUAUACAUUUAUUGAAUAUUAUAUAUUAUAAUUUAAAAAUUUUAAAUUUAUCACAAAUGUGUAUAUAAAAUAUAUUUAAAUAUUUAUUAACACAUAUACUGAUAUACAUUUAUAAAAUUUAAACUAAAUAAAAUAUAUUUAAAAUACAAAAAAUAUAAAAAAAAGCCUCUUAUAAAUUAAAAAAUUUAAAUUUAAACUAAUUAAGCUAACUCUCCUCUAUAAAAAACCGUGACCACUUGCUCCUAAUUUCAUUAAUACUCUUCAAAGCCUUGUUUCCCAAGUCUCUUAACUUACAUUCUGAAGCAGUCGUCAUGGCUGCAUUCUCCUGGGACGAGUUAUUUGAGAUUUUUUCUUGUUUACCUCUGCCAAAGCAAUUCAUAGGUUCAAAUGCACAAGCAAAACACUGGACAAGCUUCUUGAAGAAUCCUGUUUUGCAUCAAAGCAAUCUCAGAACUCAAUGAAGAAGGAUGAUACAUGUUUCUUCCUUCAACAAGAGACCCCUCAUUACAAUGAAAAAGUUGAAGUUGAGUUGCAUCCAUUACCCGGAAACCAAUUAUCUUCUGCCGUGUCCGAUUAUGUUCUGAGAUUCUUGUCAAACUCAACAAGAGUCUUGGCUUCCACUAAAGGGUUGAUUCUUUGUAAUCACGCCACGAGCCACACACCAAUUGAACUCUUCAUUUGUAACCCAUAAACAAAAACUUGGUUACCCAUUCCCACCCCAAAGGAAGUUCAAAAAAGAUAUGAUGCUGCUGAUCCCACAAUGGUGUUGCUAGAAUCUUCCUACGACGGCUGUGAUGAUGAUUACAUGGUAUUUCACCUUGAACUUGAAAGCACAACAGAUUGGUCCUCAAAUUAUGCCUGCAAGAUUUCCAAGCCUAAGGAAGGUUCGUGGAAAACAAUGGGAACAAGUUUUUUUGUAGGUGGCAGGAACAUGAAGUUUAACAUGCCUGUCUGUUGUAACAGGACAAUCCACUUCAUUUCUGAUUGUGGUCCUUAUCUGACUAAAAUGAGCUCCUUUUUUAACCCCUAUAUCUCGUCUUACAAUCUAGAGAGUGGCACCUCAACAAUGUUAAGGGUGCCAAAAGAUGCUAGAAGGGGUUCCCAUGAUUCAAGUUGUGACAUGAGUAUUGUUGUAAAAAUAAUUUAUGGCAAACUGAAUAAAUUACUGACUGAGUCGCGGACAAUGUCGUUUUUUUAAGACGUUUCGUGGCACUGUCUAAAAAUUGUGCAAUUAUCAACCACGAAAUCCUCAAAAUAAAACAGCCUAGAUCACAAGUAUUUUCAUUUGGGAAAAAGCUUACACAGCUCAAUGCUCCAUGUUUGGUGAGGCUAAGAAAAUAUGUCUUCACUGUUUGGAUCUUGAAAGAUUAUGAACCAAGCGGAUGGUUGAGAAUUCUCAAGGUAAGAACAAAAGGAAUGGGCUUGAGGGAGAAAAAUCCUAAAAUAACCGGAUUCACGGUUAUGAAUGGUGAUCUCCUAGUUUUUGCAACUGAAACAAGGGUCUAUAGCUAUGAUUUAACUGAGGAAAACUAUAUGAGGGUUGAGGAAAUCUGCCAACAUAGAUUCGAAUCCAAUGUUUGUUUUACUUCGUACUUAGAUACCCUUCGGUUCUGUGGGCGUGGUGCUGAAAGUGUGCCUUUUUAAGGUUGUUGUCAUAUUCAAAGAAAAUGCUUAAUUCUAUGUAGUUGAGAUUCAUUGGUAUCUCCCUGUCUUCAUAUAAGAUGUUUUCAUUUUAAUUUGAUGUAGUUCAGUAGUUGUCCCUUUCUAUAUGUAGUUGUCCAUCAAAGAAAAAUACUAUGCAAUUUCACAUUCAAGUUUUUGUUUUCUGCAUUGGUAGCUUCAUGUAAUAGAAUAGUAUAUGCAGUAAAAUAAUUGAGCUUUGAUUUCAUUUUUCCAGACCUGUUUUGUUUCUGUAUAUUAAUACUGUUAUUUGCCAGGUAAUUUCUGACUUCCCUGUCUCCUAAUGAAACUCAAAAUAAUCUUCAUUAUACUUGUAUGUUGAUUUCAUUUCUAGACUGAAGAAAAGUGUUGUAUUACUAGAGUUGGCUACAACCUUCAAAGUUUAGAUCCAUUGCAUAUGAAAGCUAAGAUAAUAGGUCAUUAAGAUUUGUGUUUAGUAAUCUGAAAUUUUGCAAACUUGGUUAAUAAAUUUGUUACUACUUCUUAUUUACAUGUGCUCUUUACCCAUAUGUUUGCAGUACAAUUUGUAUCAGUAUCACAGGACUCACAGGACUGCAAACAUUUGUACGGCCCAUCUUCUGAACAUUAAAGUGGUAUUUUCUAGUAUUAUUAAAACGAAGAAGUUUUGCAGAAAAAUCGUCCCACUUUUUUUGCAUACAAAUUUCAUUAAAUUUUUUAUGUAAAUCAG
rnacentral:lncRNA from 1 species